UUUCCCUGAAGUUACCAAGAAAAUGAGAAGGGCAGCACUCUUUUGUGUUUUUAUCAAUCCAGUUGAAAUGUUGUACAUUGCGCAGAUAUUCAUUCAUUCGGUAUUAACCCAUAAGUAAUGUUACAGAUCAAAAGUCCAGAGCAAUGUUGGUGGAAGCAGUCUUCUGUUUUUUUAUUCUAUUCCAGGAGAGGGCAGCAGUCCUCCUCAUAAUGGAUAUUCAUACCCUCUGAAUUUAUUUUGUUUUUCUUCUUCCUCCUACCCCUAGAGAAUUAAACAAAUUGAGUCCACAGUAUUUCCUAUAAAAGCCAUGGAGAAUUCUCCUCCCAGCACAGGAGCAUCAUCUGUGAAACAGAGAAGGAGACCUGUGUGUGACAAUGGGAGCUAUUGUAGCAUUAGCAGUGUUGCUGGGAACUUUUACAUACAGUCACUGUGUUGAACUCACCCAGCCAGAUUCCUUGUAUGUGAAACCAGGGCAGUCUCUGACCAUCUCCUGUAAAGUCUCUGGGUAUUCCCUGACUGAUAGCAGCUAUGCUACACACUGGAUUCGACAGCCUGCAGGGAAAGCUCUGGAGUGGAUUGGACGAUAUUGGAAGAAUGACGCUAACACUGCUUAUAAAGAUUCACUAAAGAGCAAGUUCACCAUCUCUGUAGACACAUCCAGCGGCACAAUUACUUUGCAGGGGAGCAGCCUGCAGACUGGAGACACAGCUGUGUAUUACUGUGCCCGAGAGUCACAGUGAGAGAAAGUCAUUUGAUAGCAAAACAAAAAGCCUUUCACACUUCAUUUGAGUGAGUCAAUUCAUUGAAAUGGGAGAACCAGCCUUCAGUCAUAAAUAUUCUCCCUCAUAAUUUGUACCUUUCCUGGCUAUUCUUAAUUUACCAUAUAUAA